rnacentral:rRNA from 1 species
UACGUAGGUGGCAAGCGUUGUCCGGAUUUACUGGGCGUAAAGGGCGUGCAGGCGGUCUGUUAAGUUCAGGGUGAAAGCUCCCGGCUCAACUGGGAGAGGUCCUUGGAUACUGGCAGACUCGAGGGAGGUAGAGGAGAGUGGAAUUCCCGGUGUAGUGGUGAUAUGCGUAGAUAUCGGGAGGAACACCAGUGGCGAAGGCGAGUCCCUGGACAACACCUGACACUGGGGCACGAAAGCCGGGGGAGCAAACAGG